rnacentral:piRNA from 1 species
UCAGAAAACAAGGGCCAAGACUGGCAGG